GAGAGAGGCCCGAUGGCAAUGAAGACUGCUAAUUUAUCACCCCCACGGUUAAACCCCGAGGCUCCCUCG
rnacentral:tRNA from 1 species